rnacentral:sRNA from 1 species
UGUGAGAGCGCUCUGGCUUGGCCCACGCUUGUGAUUCGAGAGGCGCUCAAUCAACUGUUCGGGCUCGGGCCAGAGUGGAGAGGUGAAUGGCAGCUUUGCUCCCACACGUGCUUUAAGCACUACCGGCGUACAGCUUGCCAUUCACCGCUCUCACUUCUGA